AUGGUGUCCCAACAGGAAAAGACUAACUACUGGGCAAAAGAUGCGGUUAAACAAGUCACAGAAGAACCCACAGGUACCGCUCCUGCAGAAGCUGGCGACUCUGCCGACACCGUCAGCAUGACGCAGAGGGGUCUCCUCCCCACACCCACAGCUCCGUGCAUCCUCCCCUGUGGGCCCGAGGCCCCAUCCGUGACCCCUGCUCGCCCCCCACGUUUCCCAGAUGACGGCAGCUGGAGAGCCUUCCUCCGACAGCGGCCCCAGGCCACGGAGAGGCGGCCCCGCAGAGAGCGGAUGUUUGUGAAGCUCCUCUUGGAGGGAAAGCUGCCCCCAACGCUGAACACUCCCGUCUCAAGGCACAGACAGGGGAGCGGUCACGAGCCGGCCAGUCCCUUUUACAGCCAAAAUCGGGGGCUCAGAACAUUCUUUAAUGAUUUCCGAGCCACCGAGUGCAUUGGGCGGCCCCGUCUCUGUUUUCAUUCCCUGAGAUGUGGUGCUUUCUCUCCUGGAGCCCCGUGUUGGGGACGCUUCAACCGCAGGCCUUGCCUCCCUCCCACAGUGCUGAGGAAGGACAGGCCCUCCCUUCCCCAGGAAAGGUCAGGCUGGAGAAGCCCAGGUGUGGGGGGAAGUUCUGAGCUGGCAUUGUCACCCCCGGGUCUAGUAUCCCCACAGAGUGGACCCUGGCCCUGAGCCCAGGCUGUGCCUCCCCCAUGUGCAGCCACUGGGAUGUGUCCAGGGCAGCACACGAGGCAGGUGCCCAGGUGCUCCCCUAGGCAGAAGG